AUCUAGGCUCUUGCAUCGAUGAAGAACGUAGCGAAAUGCGAUACUUGGUGUGAAUUGCAGAAUCCCGUGAACCAUCGAGUCUUUGAACGCAAGUUGCGCCCGAUGCCAUUAGGUUGAGGGCACGUCUGCCUGGGUGUCACAUAUCGAAGCCUCCUCCCAAUUUC
rnacentral:rRNA from 1 species